CCUUAACAAUCGGAGCACCUCCUCCUGCUGCCAGGAAUAUGCCCAAAAGAAAAGGCUCAGCCACAAACAAGGAACAGGCCCAAAGCAGAAAAAGAGCCCAGAAAUCAAAAGGUUCAGGCAGGAGCUCAGGACCAGACAGCAGCCCAGAAAGGAUGCAGAGACUUUUAG